GACGAACGCUGGCGGCGUGCUUAACACAUGCAAGUCGAACGAAGAGCGACGGAAGCUUGCUUCUAUCAAUCUUAGUGGCGAACGGGUGAGUAACGCGUAAUCAACCUGCCCUUCAGAGGGGGACAACAGUUGGAAACGACUGCUAAUACCGCAUACGAUCUAACCUCGGCAUCGAGGAAAGAUGAAAGGUGGCCUCUAUGUAUAAGCUAUCACUGAAGGAGGGGAUUGCGUCUGAUUAGCUAGUUGGAGGGGUAACGGCCCACCAAGGCGAUGAUCAGUAGCCGGUCUGAGAGGAUGAACGGCCACAUUGGGACUGAGACACGGCCCAGACUCCUACGGGAGGCAGCAGUGGGGAAUCUUCCGCAAUGGACGAAAGUCUGACGGAGCAACGCCGCGUGAGUGAUGACGGCCUUCGGGUUGUAAAGCUCUGUUAAUCGGGACGAAAGGCCUUCUUGCGAAUAGUGAGAAGGAUUGACGGUACCGGAAUAGAAAGCCACGGCUAACUACGUG
rnacentral:rRNA from 1 species